CACGUAGGCGGAUUUGUAAGUUAGGGGUGAAAUCCCGGGGCUCAACCUCGGAACUGCCUUUGAUACUGCAAGUCUCGAGUCCGGAAGAGGUGAGUGGAAUUCCUAGUGUAGAGGUGAAAUUCGUAGAUAUUAGGAAGAACACCAGUGGCGAAGGCGGCUCACUGGUCCGGUACUGACGCUGAGGUGCGAAAGCGUGGGGAGGCAAAACA
rnacentral:rRNA from 1 species